rnacentral:snRNA from 1 species
GCACUUACCUGGCAGGGGAAACACCAUGAUCACAUAGGUGGUUUCCCAGGGCAAGACUCACUCCUUGCACUGUGGGUGUGCUGACCUCUGUGAUUUUCCCAAAUGCAGGAAAUGGGCUGCAUAAUUUGUGGUAGUGGGAGACUGCAUCCACGCUCUCCCA